rnacentral:rRNA from 1 species
UACAGAGGGUGCUAGCGUUAAUCGGAAUUACUGGGCGUAAAGCGCGCGUAGGCGGCUUCGCAAGUCGGAUGUGAAAUCCCCGGGCUUAACCUGGGAACUGCAUUCGAGACUGCGUUGCUAGAGUAUGGGAGAGGGAAGUGGAAUUUCCGGUGUAGCGGUGAAAUGCGUAGAUAUCGGAAGGAACAUCAGUGGCGAAAGCGACUUCCUGGACCAAUACUGACGCUCAUGUGCGAAAGCGUGGGGAGCAAACAGG